CCAGGAGCCAGGUGCUUCCUCCUGGUCUCCCACACUGGUGCAGGGGCCCAAGCACUUGGGCCAUCCUCCACUGCACUCCCGGGCCACAGCAGAGUGCUGGACUGGAAGAGGAGCAACCAGCACUAGAACCUGGUGCCCAUAUGGGAUGCUGGUACUGCAAGGCAGAGGAUUAACCAAGUGAGCCAUGGUGCCAGCCCCCAGAGCUAUGAUUUUUAGAUUUACUCACAUUGUAUCCACAUCCAUAUGUAGCUGAAGUUCAUUAAUUUUCAUUGCCUUCUAAAAUGCAUUCAGUAACUAUACCACAGUUAAUCUUUACUUCUUGUGUACACAUACAUCAGUUGUUUUCAGUCUUGGUAUCAUCAACAAGGUAGUCCUGAACAUUCUUGUGCAUGUGUGCAUGCAUGUCUCUUUGAAGAAGCCUGGAUCUUCUUCUGGGUCUCCCCAGUGGGUGCACUUGAGCCGUCGUCCACUGCAUUCUCAGGAACAUUAGCAGAGAGCUGGGUAGGAAGUGGAGCAGCCGGGUCUGGAACUGGCACCCAAAUGAGAUGUUAACAUCACAGGUGGGGGCUUUACCAGCUACACCAUACUGCUGCCCCUCCCCCCCAUUGCAUUUUGAUUUUCCUGUCCCUUAAGGUGUCAUCUCUUCAUCGUUUACAGCUCAUUCCAAUUUCCUCUUCCAUGAUGCGCUUGUGCAGGCUCCUGGGCAGCAGCCAUGAAAGGGUAAUGACCCUUAGGGACUGCAGGCCUGAAAAAUGAAACUUCCCAGCUAUGAAGACAGGAAGAGUUUCAGCAUGCUGGAUGGAAAUAAGACAAGCUCCCCCCAAGCAGGUUUCAGAAUGAAAAGGAGUUCAUAGGCUUGUCACCGGAAAGCCCUGGGCAGGCUAGGGCAUCAAGCUCAGCUUCCCCCCAGGGUCCGGGAGGCAUCAGCGCUUUGGAUCCGUUUUCUUCUUCUCCUGGUUCGUCAACUCUUCAUCAGACCCCAACCCCCGUGUGCCUGUGCCACUAUGGAAGCUGUGACUCUCCCUCCCUCCUCCCCUGGCCCAGGCUCAGGGAUCCGUCACUCUAUGCUCUACUUCUAUGAUGUCAGCCCUUCUGUGAUCCCCACACAGGGGAGAUGGCCCA